rnacentral:rRNA from 1 species
AACGUAGGUGGCGAGCGUUAUCCGGAUUUACUGGGCGUAAAGGGUGUGCAGGCGGGCUGUUAAGUGGUGUAUGAAAUAUCCCGGCUCAACCGGGAAGGGUUAUGCCAGACUGGCAGUCUAGAGAGCGAGAGAGGGACGUGGAAUUCCGGGUGUAGUGGUGAAAUGCGUAGAGAUCCGGAGGAACCCCAGAGGCGAAGGCGGCGAUCUGGGUAGAUACUGACGCUGAGGUGCGAAAGCGUGGGGAGCAAACAGG